GACGAACGCUGGCGGCGUGCUUAACACAUGCCAGUCGAACGGAAAGGCCCUGCUUUUGUGAGGUGCUCGAGUGGCGAACGGGUGAGUAACACGUGAGUAACCUGCCCUUGACUUUGGGAUAACGUCAGGAAACUGGGGCUAAUACCGGAUAGGAGCUCCUGCUGCAUGGUGGGGGUUGGAAAGUUUCGGCGGUUGGGGAUGGACUCGCGGCUUAUCAGCUUGUUGGUGGGGUAGUGGCUUACCAAGGCUUUGACGGGUAGCCGGCCUGAGAGGGUGACCGGCCACAUUGGGACUGAGAUACGGCCCAGACUCCUACGGGAGGCAGCAGUGGGGAAUAUUGCACAAUGGGCGGAAGCCUGAUGCAGCAACGCCGCAUGCGGGAUGACGGCCUUCGGGUUGUAAACCGCUUUCGCCUGUGACGAAGCGUGAGUGACGGUAAUGGGUAAAGAAGCACCGGCUAACUACGUG
rnacentral:rRNA from 1 species